UCAGACGCAUCCUUCUCUGGGAUGCCUGACUCCAUGCAGUAUUUGACCUGGUGAUUAAAUGACACGUCAUAUCACGGCCACGUCACAGUAUUUGACCUGGUGAUUAAAAACGACUUCAUCAUCAAGUGUCUCAACAGGGGCUUCUGAAGACAUCACAGCGUGACAUGGACAGUAGUCACGUAACUCGACCAGUGUCUAGAGGAUACGAGUACGCAAAAACAGAGAUCUAUCCGUUAAAUAUCACGUCACGCACAGAACAUUACGAUUACAUCACGGGCACGUCACUGUAUUUCUCGCACAGAACGCACACCAAGUGGACGUUAGUAAAGGAUGCUUCUAUGGCAAUAUCGCGAAGGACGCGCAAAGUCAUAUACUAUACAAUUAUAUCACGGGCACGUCACGUACAGAAUUCUACCACGAAUCCAUGAUUAUAUCACGCAAAAAACAUUAUCACGAUAAUAUCACCGUCACGUCACGCACAAAACAUUAUCACGAUAAUAUCACGGGCACGUCAAACACAAAACAUCACGAUUAUAUCACGAGCACGUCACGCACAAAACAUCACGAUAAUAUCACGGGCACGUCACACA